rnacentral:tRNA from 1 species
GGCCAAGUAGCUCAGUCGGUAGAGCGGCAGACUGAAAAUCUGCGCGUCGGGGGUUCGAUUCCCUCCUUGGCCA